CAACCUGCCCACCACUUGGGGAUAACCUUGCGAAAGUAAGACUAAUACCCAAUGAUAUCUCUAGAAGGCAUCUGAAAGAGAUUAAAGAUUUAUCGGUGAUGGAUGGGGAUGCGUCUGAUUAGCUUGUUGGCGGGGUAACGGCCCACCAAGGCAACGAUCAGUAGGGGUUCUGAGAGGAAGGUCCCCCACAUUGGAACUGAGACACGGUCCAAACUCCUACGGGAGGCAGCAGUGAGGAAUAUUGGUCAAUGGACGAGAGUCUGAACCAGCCAAGUAGCGUGCAGGAAGACGGCCCUAUGGGUUGUAAACUGCUUUUAUAAGGGAAUAAAGUGAGUCUCGUGAGACUUUUUGCAUGUACCUUAUGAAUAAGGACCGGCUAAUUCCGUGCCAGCAGCCGCGGUAAUACGGAAGGUCCGGGCGUUAUCCGGAUUUAUCGGGUUUAAAGGGAGCGUAGGCCGGAGAUUAAGCGUGUUGUGAAAUGUAGAUGCUCAACAUCUGAACUGCAGCGCGAACUGGUUUCCUUGAGUACGCACAAAGUGGGCGGAAUUCGUGUGUAGCGGUGAAAUGCUUAGAUAUCACGAAGAACUCCGAUUG
rnacentral:rRNA from 1 species